rnacentral:rRNA from 1 species
UCAAGCUACAAAGGGCGCAUGGUGAAUGCCUUGGCAUCAGGAGCCGAUGAAGGACGUGAUAAGCUGCGAUAAGCUUCGGGUAGGCGCACAUAGCCUGAGAUCCGAAGAUCUCCGAAUGAGGAAACUCACAUGGGAAACCCCAUGUAUCAUUAAGUGAAUACAUAGCUUAAUGAAGGUAACCCAGGGAACUGAAACAUCUAAGUACCUGGAGGAAGAGAAAGAAAAAUCGAUUUUCUUAGUAGCGGCGAGCGAAAGGGAAAGAGCCCAAACCGGAAACUUGUUUCCGGGGUUGUGGACAUAGCAUAAAAGUGGAGGCUAUUGUAACUGAAGAGAACUGGAAAGUUCCACCGUAGAAGGUAAUAGUCCUGUAAGUGAAACGAGAAGACCACGAGUUAUGAUCCAGAGUACCACGAGACACGUGAAACCUUGUGGGAAGCAGGGAGGACCACCUCCCAAGGCUAAAUACUACCUGAUGACCGAUAGUGAAGCAGUACCGUGAGGGAAAGGUGAAAAGAACCCCGGGAGGGGAGUGAAAUAGAACCUGAAACCGUGUGCCUACAACCGCUCAGAGCCCCUUAUGAGGGUGAUGAGGUGCUUUUUGUAGAACGAGCCAACGAGUUACGGUAUGUAGCAAGGUUAAGUACUUAAGGUACGGAGCCGAAGGGAAACCGAGUCUGAAUAGGGCGACUAGUUGCAUGCCGUAGACCCGAAACCGGGUGACCUAUCCAUGGCCAGGUUGAAGCGAGGGUAAAACCUCGUGGAGGACCGAACCACGUUGCUGUUGAAAAAGCAUGGGAUGAGCUGUGGAUAGCGGAGAAAUUCCAAUCGAACCCGGAGAUAGCUGGUUCUCUCCGAAAUAGCUUUAGGGCUAGCGUCGAGUAUGAGUAGUGGAGGUAGAGCACUGAAUGGGCUAGGGGGCAUAGCGCUUACCGAACCUUAUCAAACUCCGAAUGCCACAUACUUUGAGCUCGGCAGUCAGACUACGAAUGAUAAGAUCCGUGGUCAAAAGGGAAACAGCCCAGAUCGUCAGCUAAGGUCCCAAAGUGUAAGUUAAGUGGGAAAGGAUGUGAGAUUUCUAAGACAACUAGGAUGUUGGCUUAGAAGCAGCCAUUCAUUAAAAGAGUGCGUAAUAGCUCACUAGUCGAGAGAUCUUGCGCCGAAAAUGUAACGGGGCUAAACUUACCACCGAAGCUACGGGCUUGAACUUAGUUCAAGCGGUAGGAGAGCGUCGUAACCGGGCUGAAGUCGUACCGUAAGGAGCGGUGGACUGGUUACGAGUGAGAAUGUUGGCAUCAGUAGCGAGAUGUGGGUGAGAAUCCCACAGGCCGAAAACCUAAGGUUUCCUCAGGAAGGUUCGUCCGCUGAGGGUUAGUCGGGACCUAAGCCGAGGCCGAAAGGCGUAGGUGAUGGACAACUGGUUGAUAUUCCAGUACCACUACCAUCGUUAUUAUCGAUGGCGUGACGCAGGAGGAUAGUGUGUGCUAGCUAUUGGAUGCUAGUCUAAGCGUUUAGGCAGUGAGAGUAGGCAAAUCCGCUCUCAUAAUGCUGAGGCGUGAUGGGGAAGGUUCUACGGAACCGAAGUACAUGAUUCCACGCUGCCAAGAAAAGCGUCUAGAGAGAGAAGUAGUGCCCGUACCGCAAACCGACACAGGUAGGUGAGGAGAGAAUCCUAAGGCCUGCGGAAGAAUUACAGUUAAGGAACUCGGCAAAUUGACCCCGUAAGUUCGCGAGAAGGGGUGCCUACGAGAGUAGGCCGCAGAGAAUAGGCCCAAGCAACUGUUUAGCAAAAACACAGGUCUCUGCUAAAGCGUAAGCUGAUGUAUAGGGGCUGACGCCUGCCCGGUGCUGGAAGGUUAAGGGGAACACUUAGCGCAAGCGAAGGUGUGAACUUAAGCCCCAGUAAACGGCGGCCGUAACUAUAACGGUCCUAAGGUAGCGAAAUUCCUUGUCAGGUAAGUUCUGACCCGCACGAAUGGCGUAAUGACUUGGGCACUGUCUCAACUGUAAAUCCGGCGAAGUUGUAGUGCGAGUGAAGAUGCUCGCUACCCGCGAUUGGACGGAAAGACCCCGUAGAGCUUUACUGUAGCUUAGCAUUGAGUUUUGGUAUUGUCUGUACAGGAUAGGUGGGAGACUAGGAAACCAGGGCGUCAGCCUUGGUGGAGUCAACCUUGGGAUACCACCCUGACAGUACUGAAAUUCUAACUGGCGGCCAUGAAUCUGGUCACAGGACAUUGUUAGGUGGGCAGUUUGACUGGGGCGGUCGCCUCCUAAAAAGUAACGGAGGCGCCCAAAGGUUCCCUCAGAACGGUCGGAAAUCGUUCGAAGAGUGCAAAGGCAGAAGGGAGCCUGACUGCGACACCCACAAGUGGAGCAGGGACGAAAGUCGGGCUUAGUGAUCCGGUGGUACCUCGUGGGAGGGCCAUCGCUCAACGGAUAAAAGCUACCUCGGGGAUAACAGGCUGAUCUCCCCCAAGAGUCCACAUCGACGGGGAGGUUUGGCACCUCGAUGUCGGCUCGUCGCAUCCUGGGGCUGAAGUAGGUCCCAAGGGUUGGGCUGUUCGCCCAUUAAAGCGGCACGCGAGCUGGGUUCAGAACGUCGUGAGACAGUUCGGUCCCUAUCCGUCGCGGGCGUAGGAAAUUUGAGAGGAGCUGUCCUUAGUACGAGAGGACCGGGAUGGACUGACCUCUGGUGUACCAGUUGUUCCGCCAGGAGCACAGCUGGGUAGCUAAGUCGGGAAUGGAUAAACGCUGAAAGCAUCUAAGCGUGAAGCCAACCUCAAGAUGAGAUUUCCCAUAGCGUAAGCUAGUAAGAUCCCUUGAAGAACACAAGGUUGAUAGGUCGGGGGUGUAAGCAUGGUAACAUGUUCAGCUGACCGAUACUAAUAGAUCGAGGGCUUGACCAA